rnacentral:misc_RNA from 1 species
GGCAAAAUUACAGAACAAAUUACACUUAAACAAGCCAUUCCAGAGCUGCAGCACGCGACAAAGCAGUUAUCAAAUACUUAUAUGAGUUACACACGGCUGCAUUGCCAGUAAUCUUCAACGAUUCAACACACUGAAACCAACGAACAAAAACUAAGAGAAAUGAAUACCAGCAUAACAAAUGGUCGUGGUAGUGGACCACAUAUCCAGUUUGGAUUUGGGGUCUAAUCCCACCUUAAUGGAACAGGAAUCGCGAUGAAUGUGUCCUUUUUUAACGUCCUUGUGUUGCAGCUGCCGCUAAUCUCUGCCAUCUUAGUUCUCGCUGCUCUUCCAGUUCAGUGGCCCGGGCUGCUUUCUCAGAAUACUGUCUUUGGCACUCAUCAAACAGAUCAGCAUCCAUUUCCAUGAACAUUUUGCGAACAUUUACAGUCAGCCCAUGGAUAGCCUGAUUCCAAUGAUUAUCUAUGUUCUUUUGCAGAGCAUCAAAAAUGAUCGGGAAAAUGACAUUGCGGUUCUGGGCGAUCAAUCCCACUAUGU